GCAAGAUCUCGCGCUACCGGAUGGGCCCGCGCCCGAUUAGCUAGUUGGUGAGGUAAUGGCUCACCAAGGCGACGAUCGGUAACCGGCCUGAGAGGGCGAUCGGUCACACCGGAACUGAGACACGGUCCGGACUCCUACGGGAGGCAGCAGUGGGGAAUCUUGCGCAAUGGGCGAAAGCCUGACGCAGCAACGCCGCGUGGAGGAUGAAGGCCCUUGGGUUGUAAACUCCUGUCGGCUGGGAAGAAGUCGUUCGCGGUUCAUACCCGCGAGCGUUGACUGUACCAGCAAAGGAAGCCCCGGCUAACUCUGUGCCAGCAGCCGCGGUAAUACAGAGGGGGCUAGCGUUAUUCGGAAUUAUUGGGCGUAAAGGGCGCGUAGGCGGCCAUGCGUGUCUUCCGUGAAAUCCCUCGGCUCAACCGAGGACGUGCGGAAGAAACUGCAAGGCUCGAGUCCGGAAGAGGGGGGCGGAAUUCCCAGUGUAGCGGUGAAAUGCGUAGAUAUUGGGAGGAACACCAGUGGCGAAGGCGGUCCCCUGGGCCGGAACUGACGCUGAGGCGCGAAAGCGUGGGUAGCAAACGGGAUUAGAUACCCCGGUAGUCCACGCCGUAAACGAUGGGCACUUGGUGUCGCGGGUAUCGACCCCUGCGGUGCCGAAGCUAACGCAUUAAGUGCCCCGCCUGGGGAGUACGGUCGCAAGGCUGAAACUCAAAGGAAUUGACGGAAUCGA
rnacentral:rRNA from 1 species